CCAAGAGCCAGCACCUCAUUGUGCUUAAUCUGGACAGGUACAUGUUUAAGUAGCAUAAGCUACAACAAGAGAUAAAAUUUCAAAUGUACUAAACAAAUGUUGAGUUUUAUUUCUUGACAAUCCCUUGUUACAGCUAAAACGACGGCAGUGCCUUGCUUUCGAUAAAGUGUUGGAACAAGGUAAGUGCCUGGCCAGGUUUGUCAACUGGAGGCUGAUGUUUUCGACAUGACCCCGCACAGAUGCCACACCAAAGUGUAUUCUAAGGGUCAUGAAUACGUACUCGAGCGUGGACGGGGUCAACAUUCUUCACGUAAAGAGUCAUCUCCAGGUCAGCUUUUCUCUGUUUUUUCUGUUAUUUUUUGUUUUUUUUUUUGUUUGGUUUUUGUUUUUUGGUUUUAUUGGUCGGAUUGGCUUCUAUUUAUACUUUUUAAUUUAAAAUAUUUUUUACAGAAGUACAGGCUAGUCAAAGAUCUUCCACCCAGCCCCGUUGGUACGAAUGAUCAACUGUUUUUUUCUUUCUUCUGUUUUUUUUUUUUUUGCUUUUGGAUGGUCCAAUAUUUUGUGCGUUUUUGGCCCACAGCAAAACAGCAGCAAUCUAAGCAAUGUUCGCUGGAGCUCCCAUCAUUGAACGUAGAAACGUACGUUAUACGUAGUACUUGACUAGGAAAACUCUUUGAAAACUCUUUUCACCUUUUAUUUAUUUUAACUUGUUUCUCUCUUUCUCAGUGGGCUGCAGAUCACCGAGACACUGCGCUUGCAGCUCGAAGUCCAAAAGCAACUCCACGAACAGCUCGAGGUUCUCUGCACAAAUUUCUCGAACUAUACAUUUGAUGGUCUAAUCGAAUUGUGCUCGUAAACCUUGGCAGAUUCAAAGAGAUUUGCAGAAGAAGAUCGAGGACCACGGAAGAUAUCUCGAGAGAAUGUACAGCAAGACGGAGGAGGCGACGCGAUCGUGUCACAAGAAUUCGGACGAGCCCUCGCCCGGUCCUCAAGAACAAGAACAGCGCAAACACCAUCAAACUUGCGACGAUCAGAUCCACCAAGCCUCGGGUACCACGACGAGCACGGCCGAUUCGUUCCAGCCGCCACUCAAGAAAUUAAAACCAUCGCAAGAACAGGAGGAGCUCCAACCCGUGGGAGACGAGGACGUCGAUUUUUCCGAACUCUGGAAGUUCACAUGAAGAAAAAAUAUUUUGUCAGGAAUGGGAAUCGAACCCAUGCCCUUGCGGACUAGUACCUGAAACUAGCGCCUUAGACCAACUCGGCCAUCCUGACUUUACGUGUAAAUACCACCAUGGUGUCAGUAUUUCACUGGAAAUACUUUUACUUUUUGGUUUAAAGUAUAGUAUGAUUCUCCAUUAGGGUUUAUGGAAUGGCGGCUCUGGCUCCCUCGUCCGGCAGCAUUGCUGUAGCUCCGCGAUCUAGGGCGGCGCACUUCGCUGUGAGGAUCCCGAUCUCGAGAGCGAGUAGAGUGGCGGCGAUGGCUUGCUCCUCGUCCGGGAAUGUAGCAGCAAUCGCCAGCGAGCAGGCGCAUUCUAGCGCUCAGCGAUCAGUGGCAGAAGCUCAACAAGGUGGUUCUAGCGUACAGUGGGGGCUUGGACACGUCCGUGAUCGUGCCGUGGCUCAGGUAAUUUGGAUCUCAUGCAGCGAUUUCUUCUUUGGAUUGAGAGUUUUGGCUUUGUUUUACUGGAUCAGGGAGAACUAUGGCUGCGUGUGUUUCACAGCUGAUGUUGGGCAAGUAAGUCGAUCUCGUGUUUUUUGUUCUGCCGAUUCUUAGCAUUUCUUUUUUUCUUCCUUGCCACUCUGUUCUGUGAUUUCCAGGGCCUGGGCGAGCUCGAAUGGUUGGAAGCUAAAGCGAAGGCAAGCGGUGCAAGCCAGCUGAUCAUCAAGGACUUGAAAGAAGAGUUUGUGAAAGACUUUAUCUUCCCUUGCUUGCGAGCUGGUGCCGUGUACGAGAGGAAGUAUCUGCUUGGAACUUCGAUGGCUCGCCCUGUAAUUGCAAAGGCAAGUUUGUGAAAGUGAGGAACUGCUGUAUGGUCAUUGAGCUUGUGCUGGUUUUUGUGCAGGCCAUGGUUGAUGCUGCAAAGGAAGUUGGAGCUGAUGCCGUUUCUCACGGUUGCACAGGGAAAGGGAACGAUCAGGUAACAAAGUUUCGUGCUUUUUUUCUCCUCUCUUCGUAUACAUGAGAAGUGGUUUCCUCGUGUUUCUGUAGGUGAGAUUCGAGCUAACGUUCUUCGCAUUGAACCCGAAGCUAGCUGUUGUUGCGCCCUGGAGAGAAUGGGACAUAAAAGGCCGCGAAGACGCCAUAGAGUAUGCAAAGAAGCACAACGUACCCGUGCCCGUGACGAAGAAAUCUAUCUACAGCCGAGACCGCAAUCUCUGGCACAUUAGACAUGAGGUAUCGCAAAUCUCCUUUUUGUUUCGUGACUUAACGACGAGCGACCUCUUUUCCAGGGAGACAUUCUCGAGGACCCCGCGAACGAACCCAAGGAGGACAUGUUUGUCAUGACUACAAAUCCAGAGAAAGCUCCUGAUACGCCAGAGUAAGCUCUCCCUCAGUCUCUUUCACUGAAAGAAAUCUCUUCGUUCCAGGUACCUGGAGAUCAGUUUCGAGAGAGGCCUUCCAGUCUCGGUGAACGGCAAGGCUCUGUCCCCCGCCAAACUCCUGGAAGCGCUCAACGAUGCCGGAGCCAGGCACGGCAUCGGGAGAGUGGACAUGGUGGAGAACAGGCUCGUCGGUAUGAAGAGCCGCGGAGUGUACGAGACGCCCGGUGGAACCAUCCUGAGCCUAGCAGCGCGGGAGCUGAGUCGCUGGCGCUGGAUCGCGAGACGAUGCAGAUGAAAGACACGAUGGCGCUCAAGUACGCGGAGCUGGUGUACGCGGGGCGAUGGUUUGAUCCUCUCCGGGAGUCGCUGGACGCCUUCAUGGAGAAGGUGACGGAGACGACGAGCGGCAGUGUCAAGCAAAAGCUGUUCAAGGGGUCGGCGGUGGUGGCCAGCCGGACCAGCCCCUUCAGCCUCUACAGGCAGGACAUAUCUUCGUUCGAGGAGGGCAGUGGGAUCUACAACCAGGGUGACGCUGCCGGAUUCAUCCGCUUGUAUGGCCUUCCCACUCGCGUCCGAGCAAUGCUUCUGGAGAAAUGAGAGAAAGAACAGGUAUGAAAGUUCUUCGUUGUUUUGAUGUUGUUCUUGUGUUUUUGAUAUCCGGAGUGGAAGAAUCGAAUGCUUUGCAAUGUUUCUUGGGAACUGAAAGAAAGUUAUGGAAGUUGUUUGUGUUCUAAGUUUGAGGAAUCAAAUGCUUUGAUUUACAAGCUAGAGCUCUUUUUCCGAUCUAAGUUGUGCUUCUCUAUCCAUCUCUCAAACGCAGCAACGUCGCGAUUCUUCCACGCGAUGGAUCCUUUCGGUGGAAGAUGAGGCAGCACAAAUCUUUCAUAUGCCUCCACGAAUUCCAUGGAGUCUGUCGACGUCGCAAGGUUCACGUCCUUCUCCUUGCUUCCACCGCUGAGAACACCAACAAAGUAUCCUGGAAGAUUUGCAGGAACGAUCGGACCUCCGCUGCUACCAUCCAGAACCGAGGCACUGAUCUCCAGCCUCGAUCCGGCCGAGCUCUCCAAACACCCCGGCCAGCACAGGAGCUCUCCGGUUCUAAAGUCCGCGAACGUUUCCUUGAGCCGAUCAAAGAGCUCCUCCUUGGUGGCGAUGUCCAUCUUCUUCGUCGCCACCUCGCGGUAGCGCUCCCACACGCCGUGCUCCGCGGUGCCAAGCACCAGCUCCUCGCUCGUCAUGCUCAAGAGCUCCACCAUGGAAGGAUACGAGAACGCCGCCACGAAAGGCCGCGAGGCGGGAACUUCGCCGGGAGAGCAAGGCAGGAAGAAGGAUCCAUCACUCUCGGCGCUGGCGGCCUCGAAGCACGAGAAAUCCUCGCUCGCCACCAACGCCCGAGCCGCGCAAUCGAAUCCAGUGCCGCGGAAGGAGUUUGGAGUGACGAAAGCGCCAAGACAACCAAGAACACUACCAUGAUCGGCUGAUACAUAGCUGGCCGAGAGCGCGAUCUGUGAUCGCCCUCCAUCGAUCGAAAGGGCGGCGUGACAAAGAAACCGCUAAAGAAUCUCGUGAGUUGAGCGUCUAGCACGAUAUCUAUCCCCAGAGUGGGAUCUCUCGCGAAUGGGCGAGAAGGGCUGUCAGCUCCAGGCUCGUGAUCGAUCACCACCGACUUGGUAAACUAUCAAAUAAAAAUGAAUUUGAAGCUGAACUGAAAAAGAAUUUGAUAUUCCAACUUAAACCACAUGUUCAAGUAAUAUAAGCUAGAGCAAAAGAUAAAUUUCACAUGUACUUGUUGAGUUUUAUUUCUUGACAAUCCCUUAAUACAACUAAAACGAUGGCAGUGCCUUGCCUUCGAUAAAGUGUUGGAACAAGGCAAGUGACUCGCCAGGUUUGUCAAAUGGAGGCUGAUGUCCAGCACCUCUUACUGUCGCAAAUGUCAUUUCUGAGUACACUUCUGUCCAUCCACCAACCUGCAGUUUAAAAGAGUUGUCUAAUAUACUCCUGGCACUCAACAAAAUUUAGUUGACG
rnacentral:lncRNA from 1 species